UUUGAUGCUAAAUUUGUUAAUGAAUGAUGACAACUAAGUCAUGAUCCAUAGUAAUUGAUUUGAAUUGAAUUUGUGAUACAUUAGUACUUGAAUAUGAGAAUCAUGUUUAUUUGGCUAAGUUAUUUGUGGAGUUGUCUAUGUGCACUGAUUUCAUGAUUUAAAACUGUUUAACUUGCUAAUGUUGUUGCAGAACCAUGUGGAAAAAAAAUGAUGAAUGAAAAAAAAAAGGAAAAAAAAAAGGAAAUUUUUUUUUGAAAAUCUGCUUCAAUGUCUAUUGUGCAAAAUAACUGGGUAUCUAAGCCUCGGGAAGCAUCGGUAUUCACGCUGAAAAGUGCGAUGGAUAAAAGCAGCUUGACUAGUCGACUUUUGUGGCCUUUGUUACUUGAAUAAGUAAGUCCGUAGGGGUGUCUCUACACCUAGCGCCCUAAGAUCAUCUGGUUUGGGAGUCGUCGGUGGAAAGUUCGCUAAUGGGUAACUCUGAAAAGCCUAAGAAAAGGAGACAUUGCACAUGUCAAGAAAAAAAAAUAUACGAAAAAAAAAGAAAAGAAGAAGCAUGAAAAUACAUUCAUCUGUGCUAAAAAGAAGGUUCUAUGAAAAAAAAUUAAUUAAAAAGCAAGAAAAAUUUGUUCUUGGUUGUGAGUCAGUGUGCACGGUUUUUGUUCCAUGGUAACUAAGUUGAGUAAGUAUGAUGAUUUUGGGAAAGUUACUUAUGUGGCUACAGUUUGAUUUAAUGAAAUGCAUUGGUGAAAUGGUAAGGUUGGUAAUUGUGAGUUGAUUGAUAAAGCGUUGAUUAGAUUUCUGCAACUUUAGUGUUGAUAGUCAUGAUUUGUAUCUUGAAAUCUUUUGACACUGUGGUUGAAUAGAAUUUUUCUGGAAAUCAAAUUUUUGGUUUACACGAGGACAUGUAAAAAGAUAAGUGUGGGGGAAUUUGAUGAGUAUGAAAUAUGUUAUAUUUUUAUUCCUUAAUACUUAAUCUUUUAUAUUUAUUUUGUGCCUAAAUAAACUCAUUAUUCUUAUUUUUUUAUUUUGGGUACAAUUGAUGGGCUCUGUGAAUUUGAAAAUAAUUUAAAGACAAAUUGAACGUUAUUGGACCAAGUGGGGCACGGAACUCAGCAGCCCAAUCCGUAUAUGUACUCAGUUUAUUGAAUGGGCAGCAUCAGAUUGCAUACAAAGAUGGGCCACGUGUUGGUUUUGAAUUGCAACAAGCUAGUCAUUACAUGGAGGGAGUAAUACAUAACCUGCAAAUUAUUUUCCAUCCAUUUCUAAUUGGAUGUGGGCCACGAUUGGUGGUUGUUUUCAUGCAAACUUGCAAUCCCACGUGGGCAGCAUGAAUGGAAUGGAGAUUACAUGGAUUUGUAAGAUAUUAAUCAUGUGGGCCACGUUUUCAUGCAACAAACUUGCAAAUCUUACAUUUAUUCAUGUGGGCCAUGGAUAUUAUGUGGGAUUACAUGAGAAGGAUUUAAUAUAUUUUCUAACACAAUCCUAUGUUCAACCAACUCUGCAAAACUUGUACACGGCAAUUAGCUUCUAACGGAAAUUUGGUGCAUUCACGCGGAAAGAGUUCAAUCCGAAGGUGAAUUGGAAAUUAUUCACGUGGCAAUUGAAGAAUCUGAAGACGGCUUGGGAAGUUUUACACAACAAUUGUAUUAGAUUUAGGAUUUACUUUAUACUAAGAUUUAUUUCCAAAUUGAAUUCUAUUUCUUUAUGGAAAUUAGUGUAAUUUAUAAUUUUUUUAGGAUUGGGAUUUCUACUUCCUAUAGGAUUUAUGACUUUGUCUAGCACUAUAAAUAGAGGAUGAGAGUCAUGGUUUUAUUUAUUCAAUUAUCAAUUAUCAACUAUCAUCUAUUGGAGUGAAGGCUCAAGAGCAUGUCAGGCUAGUUCUUUUCAUUCAGUUCUAAAGGGAGGUGAAUCCUUGUUACAAGUAAUUGAUUAAUUGAGUAUUAUUAUUUAUUCCUUCUUGUGUGAAAUUUCUUCUGAUAAUCUGUUUUCAUUGAUUGCAUGCUAAUUGAUCUAAUAGAUUUAAUAUGGCCAAUUGAGUUAAUUUGAUCAUUAUCAUAUGCUAGAUUAAGAUUGGUAUUACGUGUAAUUGAUAUCUCUCUUCAUCACAAGUAGCAACUUGGUAAUAAUAAUUGUGGACAAACUUUUGUUUAUUGCUAAGAUUAUUAGAAAACAAGUUAAAUAAAUCGAGCUUAUGUGUUUGUUGCUUGGAUUAGCCUAAUUUUCUAUUUCUUAAUGCUUCUAUCAUAUUAAAUCUAGAGAGCUUAUUCUAGGUUAUAUGCUAGUUAGAAUCUGGUGGAGAGCUUGUUUCAUACAGUGAUAAUCUAAGGAGAAUUUCGGAUAGCAGAGCUUAUUGUUAUCUAGGGCUAAUAAUUUCAUUGAAGGGAAAAUAAUAAUUACUUGAUUAAUUGAUUGUUGUGCUUGGUGAAACUGAACUGCAGAACUGAAGUUUUUAUAUAUUUGGUUACCUUCAUCAUUAAUUCUUAUUCUCUUAGUUUAAAAAUAAUUUUAAAAAAAAAACCCCAUCUAUAUUUUCUGUUGAAAUAGUAGACUAAUUAUAAAACAACUUUACUCUCUGUGGGAUCGAUCCUUACUUGCUACUGUGCUAAUUAUUAUAAUUGUGAAGUGAAAGUGAAGUUAAUUUAAGAGUGUCAACGACAGCUCCCAGUUCAGCAUCGUCAGCUUAUCUAGGUUAGGAAUUCUAUCAAUCUUGAGCUUUUAGCGCAGUUUGUUUCCGUAUUUUUUACUCCAGAUCUCAUUCUGUGUAAUACAGCCUAAAUUGAAAUGUAUCAAAUUAACUAAGGUCUUUUAGCUGAAAUCUGGCUAUGCUACUUUUUUGUAUUUUGGUGGUAACGACUCCUGUUUGGGUGGCAUGUUCAAUAUUAAUGAAUAUAGGAUACGAGAAGAUUCUCUAGCCAGAGUGGAAAUUGGAAAACCUAGGUCUUUUCAAGGGAUUUGCAAAUGACUUAAAUAGCUACUUGGUUUGAAGAGGUGGAUGAGGACUCGCACCUAUUUGCUUGAUCAAAAUUUAAGGAAUUUUCCAUGUCAUAAAUAUGGAUUGUCUGGAACAUAAAAUGAGAGAUUUAUGACUCAUACACGAUCAAGAUUGGAAGAGAAAAUGCAUUUAUAUACCUCACUCGUGUUGCAUAAAUUGAGUGUACGAUAGUGAGUCUUUGAAGUGAAGUAUAAGAAGUGUUAGUCGUUGGACUUCAAGUUUGGCUUCCCUUUAACAAAAAUUCAAUUUGGAAUUUCCUUGUCCAGUUUGCUUUCUUUCUUCUCUUAUUAAUGUACCAGUUCUAACAUGGGGAAUAAAUAUGGGAGUGGCCUGUAAUAAAUAUAGUUUACUAUCAUUUGAACUUAUAUCUCUGAAAUUAUGGAAGUUUUUAUUUUGGUAAUGCAGGGUUAGCAGGACGGUGUGCACCUAGGCUGUGAUUUGACAGUUGUUAGUUCAGGAGACAAGUGCUUGCGCGAUAUUACUCCAGAGAGCACAAGGUGGUAUUUUUAGACCCGGUACAGAUGGUUAUGAGGUUGCUGUCCAAAUAUGUGAAAAUUUUUCUGAAGGCCACUUGUAGACAGGGUGAUGAAGGAGAAGUGUUUUAUUAGAUUGCACCGGAAAGUGAAUUCCCUGUUCUUGAAGUAGAAGCUGUAGAGUGCUCAUGUAAUAGCUUCUUCUAGCUAUUUAAGUCAUUUCUAAUAUUAAUGAAGAAGGUUGUGAGUUCUAAUAUUGACAGGUUUAUUAGAGAGAGCGAGCCACUCGUGUAACUAGGUCUAGAAUGGAAAUGGUUGGAAAGUAAGUGCCCUCCGAUGGAAUACAUAAUAUUAUUAUGUGGAGGUAAAGAAAUAAAGAAGGAAUUUCUUUAAAAGUAAAGGUUCUCAUUGUCAACAACAACAUUUCUUUGUUUGAUAUUUAUCUGUAGCUUUCAAAUCUCACCCCCAUAUUCUUUGUUUUCUACUUUGGUAUAUAUUCAUUUUAACACAAGAUGAAAGGAUGAUUGGCUUGCCUUUUCUUUUACGUGUAAUAUGUUCUUUGUAUACUUGUGCUUAUAUUAAUUUGACAAAUUUGCAUUAAAUAAUAUAACAGGUUUUGGGUUUCCUUUCUGCCGUUAAAGGCAGUCCAACAAUAUGGAACUUAAAGAAUGGAGGAGCAUCAUGACCUACCAACCAAAAGUCUAAUAAAACCAUUGUGCAAUUUUUAUUUUUAAAAAUAAAGUAUCAUGGACAGAACAUUAUAAAAAUAUUAAUUUAUUUUGUGUAAAUAUUAAUACCUUUUUUUUAUAAUAUUAACUUUAUUCUUCUGAUGAAGGUCAUGGCUACAUCUAGAUAAGUAGAUAACUGGCCCAUCACAAAGUAUUCCUCAAUCCUCAUAGGAGUGGGAUCAUAUAAUCUAAAGGCAAGGUUAAUAUCACACAUUUUUAUUACUUAUGCCAAUUUUAAAAUUUAAUUUAUCAAAAGUCAAUUUUAAAAUGAAUAGAAUAUUAUUUUAUUAUUAGGAACAAACAAACAAACGAAGUAUUAUCUAUUUUUAAGGUAAUUAUUAUUACAAAAAAUGUAUAUGACCACGACAAAAAUGUUCCAUCACCUCACCGUCAGCUUCCUCCAAAUACUUUACUCACCAAGUUGAAGCUACAUUUUUUUUUGUUUUUUAAUUUUAAUUUCUUAGACAUUUCCCUAAGGACCACCAAUAAUGUAAAGCAGAAAAUACAUUUAUAGUAACUACACAUCCCAAGGGACAACAAAUGAAAAUAUUAUCUAUCAAUAAAGAUAGGAGAUAGAAAAGAAAAAGUGUUUAUUAAGAUAAAAAAAUUUAAUACAAAAAUGAUUUUUUCAAAAAGAUUUAAAAACAAUAUCAAAAAUAAUACUCCCUCCGUUCCUAAAAGAUUAACGUUUUAGAAAAAAAAAAUUGUUCUAAUUUAUUUGUCGUUUACAACUUUUUAGGAGAAUAAAUUAUAUAUUUUCCUAUAUCACCCUUACCUUCUCUCAUUGUCCCACAAAGUUUUCUCCCUUGUAUUAAUAGUUUUCAACUUUUCAUAAAUGGGUAGUGAUGAAAUUUCAAAUAAAUUUUAAUUGUUAAAUGAUAGUAUUAAAUAAUUUUCUUAAUCCACGUGUAAAAACUUUAAAUGACAAUCUUUUAAGAUCGGAAGUCAUUUAACAAUCUUUUGCCAAAUGCCCUCCGAUCAAAAACAUAAUUUUUUUUCUUUUAAAAGUACUAUAUUUUAGACAAAAUCUCUACUCGUUAAAAAUAUUUUUGCCGGUCGGUCAUCAAACAUUAAUAUUUUCAAAUUUAAUUUAAAAAAUCGGUUUUGCAACGUACUGCUCCGCCAAAGGGGAUUCUAUAUGGUAAAUACUAGUAUUUAAAACUGCUUUCAUUUACUUUUUUAGAAUUUCUAUCCAUGGCUUCGCUGUAGUUUUAUCCAAAUAUUAUAUUUAAUUCGUUUUAAAAUAUAAGAUUAUUAUUAAUUUUUUAAAAUCAAGUUAAAAUAUUUUUAAAUUUAAAAUUAAUAUAAAUUUAUUUAAUUUUAAUUCGUACAAUAAUGAUAUUAUAAAUUAUUUAAAAAUAUUACUCAUUGUAAUAUAUAUUAUUUAAUAAAUUAUGUUAAUUUUAAAGUAAAAAUAUUUUAAAUUUAAUUUUUAAAAGUCGAUAAUAUAAUAUUAUAAUUUGAAAUCGAGGAACUAGUCUUUGGAGUAAUUAUUUUGAAAAAGAUUAGUGUUGAGGAAAUAAAAUUACAAUCCCAACAAACUCAAAAAAAAACAGUUAUGGAUGACAUAUCUUGAUAUCCAUAUAUAAUUAAUAUUUACAGAAAGUAACAAAAGCUUUGGCUCAAGUCAUCUUACGUUUGCUAUUAUUAUAUCCCCCACACCCAUCCCCACUCCCACUCCCACUCCCGUACUAACUUUCCUCACUUUAAUACAGAUUCUCUCUCUGAAACAACAAAUAAAGAAGGGGUAGAGAAAUCCAAACUCAAAGCCACUUGCUGUUUCCACAUAAACCACCUCCAAAAACCACCACAAUCUUCUGAUCAAUUUGUUGAAAAACCCUUUAUUUAAUUUUGUCUCUCAUCGUUUCUUCCAUUUUGGGGGUCCAAUUUCAACCUUCUUUAAUCAAAUGGCAAUGGGUAUGUGUCAAUAGAGUUUUUAUAAAUAUAUAUUUGUACAGAGAGAAUUCUUUCAGAUUAUACCCAAAGAUCACCCCCAAAUCUGAAUAAAUUUUUGUCUUUCAUAUCUUUAAAGAUUUUAAUAUAAAGAGAGCUGCUUUAUAUCAUCAGGGGUUAGUUUUAUUUAUAAAAAUUCAGUGUUUUUGUGUUGGGUUUGGGGGUUUGAUUCCAUGGCCGCUGGUGUAGAAAUGACUGGUGAGGCAGUUGUGGCAGCUACUGUAGCUGUUCAUUCUUCACCAAACACCGAAACUGCUAAUAAUUCUGCUAAAAAUGGUAUACCUGUGUCUAAUGAUGCUAAGGAAUCCGAUUCCAAAUCGGAAUUUCAAAUGCAAGACAUAGUUGAUAUGUUAUCCAAGUUGAAGCUGAAUCCGAUGGCGAAAGAAUUCUUUCCUUCGUCCUACUCAAAUGAUCUCAAUCAUGAUCAGUUUGCAGUGAGCUAUUUUGUGCCAAUUGAUAAGAAUUUGGGUAGUGAUGGUUACCCAAAUAGAAGGGUAUGAUUUAAUAAUACAUUUUAUUCAAUUUUACCAUGUUUAUUAUGGGUUUGGGUUAUCUUGUCAUUUUACAUGUCACCUUUCGGCUAGCCCUUUGUUUAGGAUUGUAGUUUUUAAAGGUUAUGUAAUCUCAGUAAUUCCAUAUUUGAUGCUAUUAAAUUGAAUUGUCAUGUUUCUGUUGUAGAUUAAUGUGGGUUUUGAUUCCUUUUUGUGGUUGGAUUAAUUUUGUUGAGGUCCUAAUCUGGCAUUCACAUUGUACUAAUUGUUCAAUGUGAUAGGAAAUGUGGUUUUAAACUGAGGUAUUUGUAUCCUGGAAAAGAAAGGAUUCUUGACAUUUAGUUUGUCCACUCGAGAAUUUUAAUUUGCUUCCUUGUACAGGUUCAGCUUUAGAAAAUUGGUGUUGUUUUUUAAUUUAUUUUUGUAAGGUUUUGAUUUCAAAAAGGGUACUUCAAAAUGAAAAGAUUUAGAGUUUGUCCAAAAAAGAUGUGUCCUGUCGAUUUGUUAUUAACAAAUAUAAUUCCACUUGAUUUUUAAAGAUGGCACUUAUGUUCCUCUUAGUCCUUUAUUAACAGGAAAUCAUGAUGAAGUUACCAUUUCAUAGUAAUCCAAUUGAGAUUUUUUAUUUGCUUCUGGGUACACAUUUGGGUUUAGAAUUUGGUUUGUUGUUUCGUCCUUAAGUUUUCCAAAGUGCAUUUUGUUGUUUUUCGAUUUCGUUAGUGUAGGGUUUUGAUCUAUGCUGCAUCACCAUUUUCUGGUACCAUUGCCAUUCCUUAAAGAUUGGAUUUUGAUUCUGAAAUUGUAGCUUAUUUAGGAUGUUUAAAUUGAGGUAAUAUUGUUUUCAUCUGUGAUUUGAACUUUUGUACAUGGUGAUUCAAUGUUCAUAUUCAAUUUUUCACUGCAAGUGUCUCUUAUUGUCAUUUGAAUUAGAUUUUUCGACUGCCGUUAUGCUUUUGUGGCAGAACAUUCACUUUUGGAAGACUUUUGUUGUUUUAUCGAUUUUCUGCAUAACUAAUACUUAAUACUUAGUUUGAUUCUUUAUCUAACCGCAUGCAUUUAUAUUGUCAGUAGAUUGCUUUCCACAUUCAUUUUGUUGGUUUCGCUGGAUUUCGCCUUUGAAUUGAUCAUCAAUUCCUUUGUACUUAUCUUUUUAAAAAUAAAGAUUUAUUUUUUGCGUUUGUGUCAUGCUAGACUGUAAUUUUGUGUCAUUGUGCUCUCUCUUCCUCUUUUUUUUAUGUAACCUGUUUCUUGGUAAUAAAAUAGAUAUUUACUAUUUGUUAUUGUGUUAAUUAAAUUAAAAAGUAUAUAUUGAUGUCACUGGAAUAUGAUGUCACUGGAAUUAUCCCCGAGGAUGAUAUUGAUGCCAAAUUUUGUAGAAAAAUUAGUAUUUUAUCCUGUUUUAAAUUACUGCGUAUGAAAUUGAUGGUGAAAUUCAAUACCAAGUCCUUUUUUUGCUUUAAAUUGUUUAAGCUGGUGUACUAUCAUUCCCUCUGUCAAUCUAACUACUAAACCUUAUCAUACUCUCCUCCCUAACCCAUUCUACCCAAUCCCUUUACCAUCUCAAUAAAACCCCCAUAGAUUUGAGCCCUCUGCCGCCGCCGUCUGUCCUGCUCCACAACUCCUCCGCCAUUACCACCUCGCGCUUCAAACUUCCGNNNNNNNNNNNNNNNNNNNNNNNNNNNNNNNNNNNNNNNNNNNNNNNNNNNNNNNNNNNNNNNNNNNNNNNNNNNNNNNNNNNNNNNNNNNNNNNNNNNNGCCUUCAGAAAAAUAAAGAUUUAGUUUUUGUGUUUGUGUCACGCUAGACUGUAAUUUUGUGUCUUUGUGCUCUCUCUUCCUUUUUUUGAUGUAACCUGUUUCUUGGUAAUAAAAUGACUACUGAAAACAAAAUAGAUACCUUCAUAUAGUAUAUUUAAUCUUAUGGUUGACAAUGUGAUUAUCUUAUAUAUUCUGUUUAUUCAUACUUUCUGAAAUUUGAAUUUUCUUUCCUUGACAGAGGAGAAAUAACCUUAACCAGGGGAGGAGGCGGUUGAAUGGGAGAGCUUUUAGAGCUCAAAGAGAAGAUAGUAUUCGACGAACAGUUUAUGUUUCUGACAUCGAUCAUAAUGUAAGUAAGAAUAAACAGAUCAUUAGCAUUGAUUAGUCCUUUUAAUUUUGUGGCCUUUGAGAAUUUGCAUUAAUAUUACCCUUUGACCUCUCCAUAUUAGGUGACUGAAGAGCAGCUUGCUGCUUUAUUUAGUGGAUAUGGACAAGUAAGUCAUUUUGGUUAUUUUGAAAUUAGUUUGAUUCAUUCUGCUGGAUGCUCAAGUUAUUAUUUAGUUUUUGGGUAGGUCAAAACCUGCUACUUUAUUUUCACUUGGACAAGUAAAAGGUGUACACUAUCUGUUCGUAGUAUUUAUUCUUCAUAAAUGAAAUUGAUAGAGUAGCCUUCUCUAUUUAGUCGUAUGUUGCUCCGUAACCAAACAAAUAAAAGGGAUAUAUAUGACUAUAAGAUAUAUUUUAAGGUUUAUCGAAGAGUUCUCACAUGUAAGAGGAUAUAUAUAUAUAUAUAUAUAUAUAUAUAUAUAUAUAUAUAUAUAACUAUGGGAUAUAUUGUAGAGGCAAAGUGACAGGAAGGAUGAGCAUGAGAGCAUUAAUUCUUGUAGAAGUGGAGCAUCUAUAGAUUGGAUUCUUACCACUGUGCAACUCUAUCUAGCUAUACAAAUGAUACGAUAUCACAUGUAUGUCACACUCAGGUGUGCUUAAUGCCAGGGGAUAUAUAAUAUAACAAGCAUUCUGCUUCACUCACCUAUGUUUGAUUCAACCCCAUGGGUACCACCCUGUAUUCAUUCGAGUGUGGGACUGUAGGCUGAGAGAUUAGCCAACAUAAAAUGCAAAUGAAUGAACUUAAUUAGCAGGGUACUUGGCUCUUCAGGAUUGGCCAAGGCUAGAUGAGCUUGGCUUGAUCUUGUUCUUGGCUUGCCCUUGUUAAUUUGAGCUUCAGUUAAAAGCCUGUACUAUAAAUACUUACCCAUAUUGCAGAUGACAUAUAAGAUCAA
rnacentral:lncRNA from 1 species